UACGUAGGUGGCAAGCGUUGUCCGGAAUUAUUGGGCGUAAAGCGCGCGCAGGCGGUCCUUUAAGUCUGAUGUGAAAGCCCACGGCUCAACCGUGGAGGGUCAUUGGAAACUGGGGGACUUGAGUGCAGAAGAGGAAAGCGGAAUUCCACGUGUAGCGGUGAAAUGCGUAGAGAUGUGGAGGAACACCAGUGGCGAAAGCGGCUUCCUGGUCCAGCACCGACGUUCAGGCACGAAAGCGUGGGGAGCAACAGG
rnacentral:rRNA from 1 species